rnacentral:rRNA from 1 species
UACGAAGGGGGCUAGCGUUGCUCGGAAUCACUGGGCGUAAAGCGCACGUAGGCGGCUUGGUAUGUCGGGUGUGAAAUCCCCGGGCUCAACCUGGAACUGCAUCCGAAACUGCCUUGCUCGAGUAUGGGAGAGGGAAGUGGAAUUUCCGGUGUAGCGGUGAAAUGCGUAGAUAUCGGAAGGAACAUCAGUGGCGGAAGGCGACUUCCUGGACCAAUACUGACGCUCAGGUGCGAAA